CCUACGGGGUGCUGCAGUAGGGAAUUUUGCGCAAUGGGCGAAAGCCUGACGCAGCAACGCCGCGUGAUCGAGACGCCCUUCGGGGUGUAAAGAUCUGUCAGUGGGGACGAAACGUGACGGUACCCACAGAGGAAGCACCGGCUAACUCCGUGCCAGCAGCCGCGGUAAUACGGGGGGGGCAAGCGUUGUCCGGAAUCAUUGGGCGGAAAGAGUGCGUAGGCGGCACGUAAAGUCUGGUGUUAAAGGCAGAGGCUCAACUUCGGUACGGCACUGGAUACUUGCGAGCUAGAAUGCGGUAGGGGUAACUGCACUUCCUGGUGUAGCGGUGAAAUGCUUCGAUAUCAGGAGGAACAUCGGUGGCGUAAGCGCUUUACUGGGCCGUAAUUGACGCUGGGGCACGACAGCCAGGGUAGCAAAUGGGAUUAGAUACCCGAGUAGUC
rnacentral:rRNA from 1 species